rnacentral:rRNA from 1 species
UGGGGAAUUUUGGACAAUGGGGGAAACCCUGAUCCAGCCAUCCCGCGUGUGCGAUGAAGGCCUUCGGGUUGUAAAGCACUUUUGGCAGGAAAGAAACGUCAUGGGUUAAUACCCCGUGAAACUGACGGUACCUGCAGAAUAAGCACCGGCUAACUACGUGCCAGCAGCCGCGGUAAUACGUAGGGUGCAAGCGUUAAUCGGAAUUACUGGGCGUAAAGCGUGCGCAGGCGGUUCGGAAAGAAAGAUGUGAAAUCCCAGAGCUCAACUUUGGAACUGCAUUUUUCACUACCGGUCUAGAGUGGGUCAGGGGGAGGUGGAAUUCCGCGUGUAGCAGUGAAAUGCGUAGAUAUGCGGAGGAACACCGAUGGCGAAGGCAGCCUCCUGGGAUAACACUGACGCUCAUGCACGAAAGCGUGGGGAGCAAACAGG